UACAGAGGUCUCAAGCGUUGUUCGGAUUCAUUGGGCGUAAAGGGUGCGUAGGCGGCGCGGUAAGUCGGGUGUGAAAUCUCGGAGCUUAACUCCGAACUGCAUUCGAUACUGCCGUGCUUGAGGACUGGAGAGGAGACUGGAAUUUACGGUGUAGCGGUGAAAUGCGUAGAUAUCGUAAGGAAGACCAGUGGCGAAGGCGGGUCUCUGGACAGUUCCUGACGCUGAGGCACGAAGGUCAGGGGAGCAAACGGG
rnacentral:rRNA from 1 species